rnacentral:rRNA from 1 species
CAGGCUUAACACAUGCAAGUCGAGGGGCAGCAUGGUCUUAGCUUGCUAAGGCCGAUGGCGACCGGCGCACGGGUGAGUAACGCGUAUCCAACCUGCCUUACACUCUUGGACAGCCUUCUGAAAGGGAGAUUAAUACAAGAUGUUAUCAUGAGUAAGCAUUUUCGCAUGAUUAAAGGUUUACCGGUGUAAGAUGGGGAUGCGUUCCAUUAGAUAGUAGGCGGGGUAACGGCCCACCUAGUCUUCGAUGGAUAGGGGUUCUGAGAGGAAGGUCCCCCACAUUGGAACUGAGACACGGUCCAAACUCCUACGGGAGGCAGCAGUGAGGAAUAUUGGUCAAUGGACGAGAGUCUGAACCAGCCAAGUAGCGUGAAGGAUGAAGGUUCUAUGGAUUGUAAACUUCUUUUAUACGGGAAUAAACGAAUCCACGUGUGGAUUUUUGCAUGUACCGUAUGAAUAAGGAUCGGCUAACUCCGUGCCAGCAGCCGCGGUAAUACGGAGGAUCCGAGCGUUAUCCGGAUUUAUUGGGUUUAAAGGGAGCGUAGAUGGGUUGUUAAGUCAGUUGUGAAAGUUUGCGGCUCAACCGUAAAAUUGCAAUUGAUACUGGCAGUCUUGAGUACAGUUGAGGUAGGCGGAAUUCGUGGUGUAGCGGUGAAAUGCUUAGAUAUCACGAAGAACUCCGAUUGCGAAGGCAGCUUACUAACCUGUAACUGACAUUGAUGCUCGAAAGUGUGGGUAUCAAACAGGAUUAGAUACCCUGGUAGUCCACACGGUAAACGAUGAAUACUCGCUGUAGGCGGUAUACAGUCUGCGGCCAAGCGAAAGCAUUAAGUAUUCCACCUGGGGAGUACGCCGGCAACGGUGAAACUCAAAGGAAUUGACGGGGGCCCGCACAAGCGGAGGAACAUGUGGUUUAAUUCGAUGAUACGCGAGGAACCUUACCCGGGCUUAAAUUGCAACCGAAUAUGGCGGAAACGCUAUAGCUAGCAAUAGCGGUUGUGAAGGUGCUGCAUGGUUGUCGUCAGCUCGUGCCGUGAGGUGUCGGCUUAAGUGCCAUAACGAGCGCAACCCUUGCCGAUAGUUACUAACAGGUCAUGCUGAGGACUCUGUCGGGACUGCCAUCGUAAGAUGUGAGGAAGGUGGGGAUGACGUCAAAUCAGCACGGCCCUUACGUCCGGGGCUACACACGUGUUACAAUGGGGGGUACAGAGGGCUGCUACCACGCAAGUGGAUGCCAAUCCCAAAAACCUCUCUCAGUUCGGAUUGAAGUCUGCAACCCGACUUCAUGAAGCUGGAUUCGCUAGUAAUCGCGCAUCAGCCACGGCGCGGUGAAUACGUUCCCGGGCCUUGUACACACCGCCCGUCAAGCCAUGGGAGCCGGGGGUACCUGAAGUGCGUAACCGCAAGGAGCGCCCUAGGGUAAAACUGGUGACUGGGGC